rnacentral:tRNA from 1 species
CAAUUAAUAUCUUAAAUAUAAAGAGUUGAUUUUUUAAAUCAAACAUAGUAAUUUAAAUACUUUAAUUGG